AGGCAUUGAGGCAGCCAGCGCAGGGGCUUCUGCUGAGGGGGCAGGCGGAGCUUGAGGAAACCGCAGAUAAGUUUUUUUCUCUUUGAAAGAUAGAGAUUAAUACAACUACUUAAAAAAUAUAGUCAAUAGGUUACUAAGAUAUUGCUUAGCGUUAAGUUUUUAACGUAAUUUUAAUAGCUUAAGAUUUUAAGAGAAAAUAUGAAGACUUAGAAGAGUAGCAUGAGGAAGGAAAAGAUAAAAGGUUUCUAAAACAUGACGGAGGUUGAGAUGAAGCUUCUUCAUGGAGUAAAAAAUGUAUUUAAAAGAAAAUUGAGAGAAAGGACUACAGAGCCCCGAAUUAAUACCAAUAGAAGGGCAAUGCUUUUAGAUUAAAAUGAAGGUGACUUAAACAGCUUAAAGUUUAGUUUAAAAGUUGUAGGUGAUUAAAAUAAUUUGAAGGCGAUCUUUUAAAAAGAGAUUAAACCGAAGGUGAUUAAAAGACCUUGAAAUCCAUGACGCAGGGAGAAUUGCGUCAUUUAAAGCCUAGUUAACGCAUUUACUAAACGCAGACGAAAAUGGAAAGAUUAAUUGGGAGUGGUAGGAUGAAACAAUUUGGAGAAGAUAGAAGUUUGAAGUGGAAAACUGGAAGACAGAAGUACGGGAAGGCGAAGAAAAGAAUAGAGAAGAUAGGGAAAUUAGAAGAUAAAAACAUACUUUUAGAAGAAAAAAGAUAAAUUUAAACCUGAAAAGUAGGAAGCAGAAGAAAAAAGACAAGCUAGGAAACAAAAAGCUAAGGGCAAAAUGUACAAACUUAGAAGAAAAUUGGAAGAUAGAAACAAGAUAGAAAAUGAAAAUAUUGUCAAGAGUUUCAGAUAGAAAAUGAAAAACAAGCUAAGACAAGUAUUGGAGAAGUAUAGAAGAUAGAAAAAUAUAAAGCCAAAAAUUGGAUAAAAUAGCACUGAAAAAAUGAGGAAAUUAUUGGUAACCAAUUUAUUUUAAAAGCCCAUCAAUUUAAUUUCUGGUGGUGCAGAAGUUAGAAGGUAAAGCUUGAGAAGAUGAGGGUGUUUACGUAGACCAGAACCAAUUUAGAAGAAUACUUGAAGCUAGAAGGGGAAGUUGGUUAAAAAUCACAUCAAAAAGCUACUAAAAGGACUGGUGUAAUUUAAAAAAAACUAAGGCAGAAGGCUUUUGGAAGAGUUAGAAGAAUUUGGAAGGCCUUAAAUAUAGUAGCUUAGUUUGAAAAAUGUGAAGGACUUUCGUAACGGAAGUAAUUCAAGAUCAAGAGUAAUUACCAACUUAAUGUUUUUGCAUUGGACUUUGAGUUAAGAUUAUUUUUUAAAUCCUGAGGACUAGCAUUAAUUGACAGCUGACCCAGGUGCUACACAGAAGUGGAUUCAGUGAAUCUAGGAAGACAGCAGCAGACAGGAUUCCAGGAACCAGUGUUUGAUGAAGCUAGGACUGAGGAGCAAGCGAGCAAGCAGCAGUUCGUGGUGAAGAUAGGAAAAGAGUCCAGGAGCCAGUGCGAUUUGGUGAAGGAAGCUAGGAAGAAGGAAGGAGCGCUAACGAUUUGGUGGUGAAGCUAGGAAAAAGGAUUCCAGGAAGGAGCGAGUGCAAUUUGGUGAUGAAGGUAGCAGGCGGCUUGGCUUGGCAACCACACGGAGGAGGCGAGCAGGCGUUGUGCGUAGAGGAUCCUAGACCAGCAUGCCAGUGUGCCAAGGCCACAGGGAAAGCGAGUGGUUGGUAAAAAUCCGUGAGGUCGGCAAUAUGUUGUUUUUCUGGAACUUACUUAUGGUAACCUUUUAUUUAUUUUCUAAUAUAAUGGGGGAGUUUCGUACUGAGGUGUAAAGGGAUUUAUAUGGGGACGUAGGCCGAUUUCCGGGUGUUGUAGGUUUCUCUUUUUCAGGCUUAUACUCAUGAAUCUUGUCUGAAGCUUUUGAGGGCAGACUGCCAAGUCCUGGAGAAAUAGUAGAUGGCAAGUUUGUGGGUUUUUUUUUUUUACACGAAUUUGAGGAAAACCAAAUGAAUUUGAUAGCCAAAUUGAGACAAUUUCAGCAAAUCUGUAAGCAGUUUGUAUGUUUAGUUGGGGUAAUGAAGUAUUUCAGUUUUGUGAAUAGAUGACCUGUUUUUACUUCCUCACCCUGAAUUCGUUUUGUAAAUGUAGAGUUUGGAUGUGUAACUGAGGCGGGGGGGAGUUUUCAGUAUUUUUUUUUGUGGGGGUGGGGGCAAAAUAUGUUUUCAGUUCUUUUUCCCUUAGGUCUGUCUAGAAUCCUAAAGGCAAAUGACUCAAGGUGUAACAGAAAACAAGAAAAUCCAAUAUCAGGAUAAUCAGACCACCACAGGUUUACAGUUUAUAGAAACUAGAGCAGUUCUCACGUUGAGGUCUGUGGAAGAGAUGUCCAUUGGAGAAAUGGCUGGUAGUUACUCUUUUUUCCCCCCACCCCCUUAAUCAGACUUUAAAAGUGCUUAACCCCUUAAACUUGUUAUUUUUUACUUGAAGCAUUUUGGGAUGGUCUUAACAGGGAAGAGAGAGGGUGGGGGAGAAAAUGUUUUUUUCUAAGAUUUUCCACAGAUGCUAUAGUACUAUUGACAAACUGGGUUAGAGAAGGAGUGUACCGCUGUGCUGUUGGCACGAACACCUUCAGGGACUGGAGCUGCUUUUAUCCUUGGAAGAGUAUUCCCAGUUGAAGCUGAAAAGUACAGCACAGUGCAGCUUUGGUUCAUAUUCAGUCAUCUCAGGAGAACUUCAGAAGAGCUUGAGUAGGCCAAAUGUUGAAGUUAAGUUUUCCAAUAAUGUGACUUCUUAAAAGUUUUAUUAAAGGGGAGGGGCAAAUAUUGGCAAUUAGUUGGCAGUGGCCUGUUACGGUUGGGAUUGGUGGGGUGGGUUUAGGUAAUUGUUUAGUUUAUGAUUGCAGAUAAACUCAUGCCAGAGAACUUAAAGUCUUAGAAUGGAAAAAGUAAAGAAAUAUCAACUUCCAAGUUGGCAAGUAACUCCCAAUGAUUUAGUUUUUUUCCCCCCAGUUUGAAUUGGGAAGCUGGGGGAAGUUAAAUAUGAGCCACUGGGUGUACCAGUGCAUUAAUUUGGGCAAGGAAAGUGUCAUAAUUUGAUACUGUAUCUGUUUUCCUUCAAAGUAUAGAGCUUUUGGGGAAGGAAAGUAUUGAACUGGGGGUUGGUCUGGCCUACUGGGCUGACAUUAACUACAAUUAUGGGAAAUGCAAAAGUUGUUUGGAUAUGGUAGUGUGUGGUUCUCUUUUGGAAUUUUUUUCAGGUGAUUUAAUAAUAAUUUAAAACUACUAUAGAAACUGCAGAGCAAAGGAAGUGGCUUAAUGAUCCUGAAGGGAUUUCUUCUGAUGGUAGCUUUUGUAUUAUCAAAGGCAUUUCAUCCUUCAUGAAGCCAUUCAGGAUUUUGAAUUGCAUAUGAGUGCUUGGCUCUUCCUUCUGUUCUAACUUCACAGAGAAUGCAGUUGUCUUGACUUCAGGUCUGUCUGUUCUGUUGGCAAGUAAAUGCAGUACUGUUCUGAUCCCGCUGCUAUUAGAAUGCAUUGUGAAACGACUGGAGUAUGAUUAAAAGUUGUGUUCCCCAAUGCUUGGAGUAGUGAUUGUUGAAGGAAAAAAUCCAGCUGAGUGAUAAAGGCUGAGUGUUGAGGAAAUUUCUGCAGUUUUAAGCAGUCGUAUUUGUGAUUGAAGCUGAGUACAUUUUGCUGGUGUAUUUUUAGGUAAAAUGCUUUUUGUUCAUUUCUGGUGGUGGGAGGGGACUGAAGCCUUUAGUCUUUUCCAGAUGCAACCUUAAAAUCAGUGACAAGAAACAUUCCAAACAAGCAACAGUCUUCAAGAAAUUAAACUGGCAAGUGGAAAUGUUUAAACAGUUCAGUGAUCUUUAGUGCAUUGUUUAUGUGUGGGUUUCUCUCUCCCCUCCCUUGGUCUUAAUUCUUACAUGCAGGAACACUCAGCAGACACACGUAUGCGAAGGGCCAGAGAAGCCAGACCCAGUAAGAAAAAAUAGCCUAUUUACUUUAAAUAAACCAAACAUUCCAUUUUAAAUGUGGGGAUUGGGAACCACUAGUUCUUUCAGAUGGUAUUCUUCAGACUAUAGAAGGAGCUUCCAGUUGAAUUCACCAGUGGACAAAAUGAGGAAAACAGGUGAACAAGCUUUUUCUGUAUUUACAUACAAAGUCAGAUCAGUUAUGGGACAAUAGUAUUGAAUAGAUUUCAGCUUUAUGCUGGAGUAACUGGCAUGUGAGCAAACUGUGUUGGCGUGGGGGUGGAGGGGUGAGGUGGGCGCUAAGCCUUUUUUUAAGAUUUUUCAGGUACCCCUCACUAAAGGCACCGAAGGCUUAAAGUAGGACAACCAUGGAGCCUUCCUGUGGCAGGAGAGACAACAAAGCGCUAUUAUCCUAAGGUCAAGAGAAGUGUCAGCCUCACCUGAUUUUUAUUAGUAAUGAGGACUUGCCUCAACUCCCUCUUUCUGGAGUGAAGCAUCCGAAGGAAUGCUUGAAGUACCCCUGGGCUUCUCUUAACAUUUAAGCAAGCUGUUUUUAUAGCAGCUCUUAAUAAUAAAGCCCAAAUCUCAA
ensembl:lncRNA MALAT1 metastasis associated lung adenocarcinoma transcript 1